CGGAUCACUACCGGAGCCCGCGUUUCCAGUGCGAGGAAGUGUUGAGUGUGGAAUAUUCUGGUCACUCUGAAAUAUCAGCCACAGCUGUCGAGUCCAUCAGAAGAGGCACAUUUAGAGAAACCCAUCCGUCUGAACAUGAGGAGCAUCAUAUGUUUCAUAGGUGUUUUUCUGUGUCUGAGAACCACAGCUUCAGAUUCCAGUGCGAUCUGUGAGCCGAAGGAUGGUUCCCGAAAGCCGCAAUGAUUGGAUCGUCCUGCAGGAAAUGUCUCUGGGAUGCUGGUCGAACUUUAACCAGCCAGGACGGGAAAGAAGUCCACAUCCUCAAGCUGCUGUCAUCCCCUGAAAACAUAUUAACACUCUUAUUACCU